rnacentral:sRNA from 16 species
AUAUCUCUCUGUACGGGAAGGAUGAGAAGCUUCGACUAAGGUUCGAUUCGAGCGCAGCGAGAAAGCGUUGCCGCAGGCAACGACCCGAAGGGCGAAGCGCGCAGCGCUGAGUAAUCCUUCCCCCGUCAUCC